CACUGCGCCCACACUGAGCAUGCGCGGACGCCCCUUACACCGGUUUUCCCACCUACUGCUGCUUUUUAGCUAAUCCGUGACCGCUGUUGUUCUGAUGGACAGACCAUUUCCACCAAUAAUUACGAGUCAUGACGGAAUUCUGUUUCCCCCUUUUCCGGUGGGCGGAGACUGAGGCUUCUGGGAGCCCCGGAAGGUGAGGAGGUGAAAGGUGAGGUGGGAGGAGUGGAGGAAAAUGGAGCUUCUGUGGGCGUGGUCGCGCCAGGGGACAGCCAAUGAAGAGGAAGAGCGUCAGGGCGGGGCAGAAGGCGGCGAGCGCUAGGCGGGGACCCGGGAACUCGUGCCAAGUGACUGGUGCUCGCUUCAGGCUCCUGCUACCUUCUGCGGGCGGAACGUGGGUGUCCCGGGAAGGGACGGACCCCAUCUCUACUAUGCCGCAAGCGCGUUGUGUCAACAGUCUGGCUGUGGACGGUCCGAUGAGCGUUACUUGAUUUCGUACUUUCGGCCACCUCCAAUUUUCUCAGAACGCAACAUAAGAAAAAAAAAAAAAAAAACUAACAGCAGUGUGUGCAGGAGAGCUUCGAAGAUAUGGGUGCUGAUGUUUGGUCACUGCUAUGGGGGAGGUCGUAGAGCUGAGAGUUGUCGGAGGACGUUUUCUGUCCUGUCUAGGAUUCUGGAAUUGAACCUGGGUUCCCACGCUUGUGCAGCCGUCUCCCCAGCCCCCGUUAAUACUGUGUCUGAAGUAGCCACUCUACUGAAGUCAGCUCUGCCUUCUACUUGACACGCCUUCCCUUACUCACUUCUCACUUCAUUUUCUUACUGCGUUUGCCUCCAUUCAGUGUUGAUAUUUUAAAAUUGAAAUCUGUUAUUAUUUUGUCAUGUAGCCCAGGCUGGCCAAGAUCUUGCCUCCCUUUAAGCUUAUUUUAGGAAAAUUAUGCUUACUUGUAGGGUGCUUGUGACAGUGUCACCCAUACACACACUGUAUGACAUUAGAUUAUGCUAAGCCUGCCAUCUCUAUAAAUUCUUAGUUGUGAAACUCAAAGCCUCUCCUUUAAGAUUUUUUGGGGGGCACUAUAGUUGUAAGGGAGGUUAGCCCCCUCAGAAGCAGUACAGGACACCCAGACACCAAAUUCUUAGCACAAAGGAGAUUUAUUACUCUGGGGGUGGGGUGAGGUGGGGGCGGCAAAAGCAGACUGAAGCAGCAGCACACCUGAGCAGGCAUUUCCACAGGAGUGGGGUUUGAGGAGGGAGAGGGGGAGUAAGUGCUAGGGUGAGUUGGUAAAUCCUGACUGGACGCAUUAGCCAAGUAAUGAGUUUUGAUUAUUGGACCUUGGUGUUUUGUCUCAGGAAUGAGUUAGUGGGGCCAAAUAAGGGAAUGGGCCUUGGGAGCUAGCUUUAGGAAUGUCAUCUAACAAUUUUUAAUAAGGGAGAGAAGGGUCAAAGACAAAACCAGUGGGCAGCACGCUUGCCAUGCCGGGGCCUGGCAGAGCCCUUCAGCAGUGUGUUGUUAGUUAGUCACCUUGUGGGCUGACAGUUGUUCCACAUGCUGACUCAGUGCCCAUCCAUCUCUCCCAGCCUCCUCCACACUCAGUUCAUAUUGAAGGGGAGCUGUGCUGGUGUCCACCCUGCCUUGUCUCUAACUUCAGUGAGGUUGCUUUGAAAGCUUACUAGCACAGCCCUUGCUGUGAGCUCCCAGCAUUAAAGGGCACUCGGUUCACACAUGUCCAAGAAACUUCUGUCACAGCAGUGGCCUUUCUUUAAGCCGGCCAUCCUCUCCUGGG
rnacentral:lncRNA from 1 species